CAAAUCCCAUCGUUGUCAGCUCGUUGGUUCCGUGCAAAGCUUCGCUUUGUGUUUUGACCAGUUGGUGCGCACGGGUUUCCACGCGAGCGCACGAAGAGUUGGACCGGUCACCGGGGUCCGUGGGAUCUCAAGUUUCUGUUUUCCAGAAGAGAACCCCUUGCAGCAACGGUGGCGCACACCAAGAGAUCGAGAUGGAAUGUAAGCGCCAGGGGGCGUUUGGUAACCCCAACAGCAUCACCACGGUGAUCUAAGAUUUCCGAUGAUCCGAAUGCUGAGGUGAUUUGAUCUCCAGUGAUCUAAGAUCAAUGUGUUUGGUAAGCCAUGGUUCAAUGAUUAAAAAUCUCCGAAUAUCCAUGAGUAACUUGUUUGGUAUGGUAUGGAGAUCCAAGAUCACUGACCACAUAAUACCAUAAAUAUUCUUGAUAUAUCUUUGAUGGAUUUUUUAUAUGUUUUUAAUUCUCAUGAAUCAAAAAUUUAAGUCAAUAUGCUAAUUUUUAUAAUAACUCCAUAAUUUUGUCACAUAUUCUACUUUUAGUAGCCCUUAUCACAAGAAAAUCAGAUCAUAUUCUCGUUCUAUCAACCAUACUCUUCAUGACGUCAA
rnacentral:lncRNA from 1 species